rnacentral:rRNA from 1 species
UACGUAGGGUGCGAGCGUUAAUCGGAAUUACUGGGCGUAAAGCGUGCGCAGGCGGUUGUGCAAGACAGAUGUGAAAUCCCCGGGCUCAACCUGGGAAUUGCAUUUGUGACUGCACGGCUAGAGUGUGUCAGAGGGGGUAGAAUUCCACGUGUAGCAGUGAAAAUGCGUAGAUAUCUGGAGGAACACCGAUGGCGAAGGCAGCCCCUGGGCUAACACUGACGCUCAUGCACGAAAGCGUGGGGAGCAAACAGG